ensembl:lncRNA
UUUUUUUUUUUUUUUUUUUUUUUUUUUGUCUUUUUGCCAUUUCUUGGGCCACUCCUGCGGCAUAUGGAGGUUCCCAGGCUAGGGGUCUAAUCGGAGCUGUAGCCACCGGCCUACACCAGAGCCACAGCAAUGCAGGAUCCGAGCCACGUCUGCAAUCUACACCACAGCUCAUGGCAACGCCGAAUCGUUAACCCACUGAGCAAGGCCAGGGACCGAACCCGCAACCUCAUGUGGGUUCAAUCCCUGGCCUUGCUCAGUGAGUUAAGGAUCUGGUGUUGCCAUGAGCUGUGGUAUAGGUCACAGAUGUAGCUUGAAUCUGGCAUUGCUGUGGCUGUGGUGUAGGCUGGCAGCUGUAGCUCCGAUUCGACCCCUAGCCUGGGAUCCUCCAUAUGCCACGGAUGUGGCCCUGAAAUGACAAAAGACAAAAACAAAACAAACAAACAAACAAAAAAACUCAGCAACAAAAAAACAAAUAAAAAAGAAAGAAAUUAUAAGAAGCUAUGUAGCAUAAUUUGAAAGGAACCAUAAUGCAUGGUCUCCAGAUAAAAAUGUAUUUGCUGCAAGGUAGAAAACAGUGCCCCAAAUCUCUAUCACAGUAAUGAGUCACUCCUGUAGCUUUAGCUAUUAUCUCUAAAUGGCCUUGCCUUGAGGAGUUCCUAUCAUGGCGCAGCAGAAACAAAUCCGACCAGGAACCAUGAGGUUGUAGGUUCAAUCCUGGCCUUGCUCAGUGAGUUAAGGAUCUGGCGUUUCUGUGAGCUGUGGUGUAGGUCGCAGACAUGGCUUGGAUCUGGUAUGGCUGUGGCUCUGGCAUAGGCCAGAAGCAAUAGUUCCAAUUAGACCCCUAGCCUGGGAACCUCCAAAUGCCGUGGGUGCGGCCCUAAAAAGACAAAAGACAAAUAAAUAAAUAAAUAAAGGGCCUUCCCUUAAAAUGAAACUACUUUUACCUGAAGAGAGGAAUUUCCCAAUAUAAUUGCAUCAACUGAACCAUCAACACGCAUUUGUCAACAAAAUAAUAUAACAAAGUUUUAUAUUUGGUCCUAAAGAAAUAGGACAAAGAAAAGGUACAUUUGCAAGAAGGAACAAGUAAAAGGCUGGAAACUAAAACCACAUCUAAAAUGGCAAAAUUCAAUAAGGUAGCUGUGAUACAAUAAGAAAUGUAUAUUUGGUCUUUGUCUUUGGUCCUUGGCAUAGAGUUUCUAAAACUCCUGUUAUCUCUGGAGUGGUAAAAGUGUCUUUUGGAAAGUAAGAAUUCUACCACUGAACCUCUAGUGCUUCCCAAAGAGUGUCUUUUGUAUGCUAAUGAGAUGACAGGUGAGUGGGGGACUGGUCACCAGAAAGACCAAGGCAUGAUUGGUCUGGAACUCUCAGCCCAACCCUCUGACCUCCAGGGAAGGCAAAAGCACUGGAGGUUUAAUCCAUCACCAAAGGUUGAUGAUUGAAUCAGUCAUGCCCGCAUAAUGAACACUCCAUAAAAUCCUAAAUGAUGAGGUUCUCAGAGCUUCUGGCUUGGUGAGCACAUUGAGAUACUAGAAGGGUGGCAUACCCAGGGAGGAUGCAGAAGCUCUGUGCCCUCCUUCUGUGUCAUACCCUAAGUAUCUCUCCCAUAAAGUGUUCCCCUGAGUUGUAGUAGCUGUUGUAGCCACUUAUCAAAAUCUGAAGAAGUGUCAUGGAACCCCCAAGAGUCAGUCGGUCAGAAAUACAGGUGGAAAACCAGGACUUGCAACUGGUGUCUGAAGUGGGUCAGUCUUGUGAAACUCAGCCCUUAAUCUGUGGGGUCUAAAGUAACUUGCUAGUUAGUUCAGAAAUGAAAUGAAUUAUUGGACCCUCCGUUGGUGCCUAGACAAUCAGAGAACUGGCUGCUGGUGUGAGAAAAAAUUACGCACUAAGAAAAAAAGAGAAGGUUUUAGUAGAUAGAGAACAGUGUAAGACAAGUGGGUACCCAGGGAAGGUUAGAGGCAAAACCUGAAGAUAAAAUAAGCAUAUUUUCCCCAUAUUUCAUCCUAAGGCCUACAGAUUUAGAAGGUCAAUAGAGAAACCAAAAUUUGCUUCAAAAAUUAAACCUAUUUUAAAAGCUCAGUACAGAAAUUAUACCCUCCCAACAUGAAUCACUAAAUUUCAACAGAAUGGGGGGAUAUAGUUUUCCAUUUUCAACAAUGAGAAACAAUCCUUCCAUCUUUCAAUGUUCGGAAAGUUGUGCUUUUGUGAACAAUUAUUAGUCUAUUGGUCUGUU